ACCUGGGUGGCUCAGUCGGUUGAGCGUCCGACUUUGGCUCAGGUCAUGAUCUCACAGUUCGUGGGUUCGAGCCCCGCAUCAGGCU
rnacentral:tRNA from 1 species